GGGCGGGGGUGCCUAUACAUGCAAGUCGAGCGAACGGAUAAGGAGCUUGCUCCUUUGAAGUUAGCGGCGGACGGGUGAGUAACACGUGGGUAACCUACCUAUAAGACUGGAAUAACUUCGGGAAACCGGAGCUAAUGCCGGAUAACAUUUGGAACCGCAUGGUUCUAAAGUAAAAGAUGGUUUUGCUAUCACUUAUAGAUGGACCCGCGCCGUAUUAGCUAGUUGGUAAGGUAACGGCUUACCAAGGCAACGAUACGUAGCCGACCUGAGAGGGUGAUCGGCCACACUGGAACUGAGACACGGUCCAGACUCCUACGGGAGGCAGCAGUAGGGAAUCUUCCGCAAUGGACGAAAGUCUGACGGAGCAACGCCGCGUGAGUGAUGAAGGUUUUCGGAUCGUAAAACUCUGUUAUUAGGGAAGAACAAAUGUGUAAGUAACUGUGCACAUCUUGACGGUACCUAAUCAGAAAGCCACGGCUAACUACGUGCCAGCAGCCGCGGUAAUACGUAGGUGGCAAGCGUUAUCCGGAAUUAUUGGGCGUAAAGCGCGCGUAGGCGGUUUCUUAAGUCUGAUGUGAAAGCCCACGGCUCAACCGUGGAGGGUCAUUGGAAACUGGGAAACUUGAGUACAGAAGAGGAAAGUGGAAUUCCAUGUGUAGCGGUGAAAUGCGCAGAGAUAUGGAGGAACACCAGUGGCGAAGGCGACUUUCUGGUCUGUAACUGACGCUGAUGUGCGAAAGCGUGGGGAUCAAACAGGAUUAGAUACCCUGGUAGUCCACGCCGUAAACGAUGAGUGCUAA
rnacentral:rRNA from 1 species